AGGCUUCCGGAUGCAGUUGAGACUGAGCCCACGUCAGGAACAGGUGUUCGGUGCACGCUGGGAUCUGCGGGAAUCGGUGCCCGGCCCCACCUGCAGCACAAACAGAGAAAAGCCCCUGUUGAUGGCAGGAAGAUGCUGCUGUCACAUGUGUCCAUCACCUCACAUGGUGAUUCAUGAAGAGUUUCCAUGCUCAUCUACCUCUGACUUAUUGAAAACUUUAAAGAACCUUUAAAGAUCCGAGAAUGUCAGUCAAUUGUCCAGAGUCACCUAUAUGACAGAUCUGAAAAUCAAAGUGCCAUUAUUUGGUGUCAGGUCCAUGUUUCAGUUCAUUUAUGUUUAAUGAAGAGUAGUGAUCUUUUAUGUGGCGGUUCACAGUUUGUUUAUCCAUUCACCAACUGAUGCAUAUUUGGAUAAUUUUCAGCCAUGAACAUUUAUAUACAGGUUUCUAUGUGUGGACAUAUGUCUCCACUCUCUUGGGUGAAUACCAAGGAGUGAAUGACAUUGCUGGAUCUCAUAAGAAGUGUAUGUUUGGCAUAAUAAGGAGCUGUCAUACUUUUUCAAAGUGGCCGUACCAUUUUUCAUUUCCAUCAGCAAGAUGUGAGGGGUCUAGUUGCUCUGCAUCUUCAUCUGAAUUUAAUGAUGUCAGGUUUUUCUAUUUGAGCCAUCAUAUUGCUUUGUAAUGGUAUUACAUUUUAGUUUUAAUUUGAUUUUUCUAAUGUAUAAUAAUGAGUAUGUUUUUGUUUGUCAUCUGUUCCUUUUUGAUGAAGUGCCUAUUUGAUCUUUUCCUCAUCUUAAAAAGUUGUUUCUUACUGAUUUCAAGAGUUGUAUAUAUGCUACAAAAGUUUUUCCAAAGAUAAAUGAUUUGUAGAUACUUUC